AGUUUGGCUGCUGAACUACCUCUCAUGUCCAUGCCUUUCUUGUACAUGCCUUCAUUCUCUACGGAUGAUAGUAGAACAGAUGUUAAUAGACAUAUUGGUUCAAGCAUAAUGCAAGUGGAAUCAUCUGGUUCAAGGGAUUUGCAGACAGUUGCAAAUGCAGCAGAGAAGUAUGACACUUUAGUGUCUCCCAUGGAGACAUUCCCUGCAGUUGCUUCCAGUUCAUAUCCCAUUACAGAAGGUGCAGUUAGUAAUUCUUUUCCUACUGCAAUGGGAAGUUGCGUUGCUGACUCCACUGUAGAUCCCAUGAAGACCGAUGGAAUGCAGCCCUUAGAGGGGAACUUGCAAGGAAACUAUACUGACCCAGAAACUUCUGGUGGUGGUAAUAGUGCAGUGGACGGAGCAUGUGGAAAUAUUUUAGUUGGGCAGCAUUCCACAGAGGUUGGACAACUUCACCGGUGCCUGCCCUCUACAGAACCAACUUGGUGGGAGCUACACUUUUUGCAAGGAUGGUUAAUGGGUCAAAGCCAAGCUGGUGUUCCAUCA
rnacentral:misc_RNA from 1 species